rnacentral:rRNA from 1 species
UACGUAGGGUGCGAGCGUUAAUCGGAAUUACUGGGCGUAAAGCGUGCGCAGGCGGCGCGUUAAGACAGGUGUGAAAGCCCCGAGCUUAACUUGGGAAUUGCGCUUGUGACUGGCGUGCUGGAGUGUGGCAGAGGGAGGUGGAAUUCCACGUGUAGCAGUGAAAUGCGUAGAGAUGUGGAGGAACACCGAUGGCGAAGGCAGCCGCCUGGGCCAGCACUGACGCUCAUGCACGAAAGCGUGGGGAGCAAACAGG